rnacentral:lncRNA from 1 species
CUAAGCACGCGCAGCACACCUGCGCUGCCGCUUGUCCCACUUUUAAAACGGUGUAUUUGGUCUUUGGAUGACGUGUCCGCAACAAAAGAAGCUCUACUCUUUUGUCAAGGGCAAAAGUGUAGCAUGUACCCCCUUCUACACAACAUGGCAGCUUCUUUAGAAAUUGAACUAAAUUUCACUAAAACUACUGGAGCUCAAGCGCACAACAGGACAGUGAACAUAAAUCGACAUGGGUAAUAACGUCGCGGCAUCUCAACGUUGCAUCAGGAAAGAUUUCAAAGACUUCCGAGCUCUCAGAGAGGUCAGGAGGUGGGAGAAGAUGUGCGUCUGUAUGUGGAGGGCAGGAUCAUGCUAAUAUAAUAACCCAGGCUGCAGCGGAAGGCUACGAUUUUCUUGGAAACAUGUCCGACUGGUUUCCAGGUGCCAUUAAAAUGAUGUGUUGAUGUUUUUUCAGAUAUAGUUUGACAUCAUAGAGGACCAUCUGUUCUUGAUCUAUAAAACUGUUCUAGAUUUGGUACAGACUGGUAACAGAAUUGACUGAUCGACUGAUCAAGGUACAGAUACCUCCCACAAGGUUAAUGUCCCCUCAUUAAUAUACCAGAUAACGUCAUCAACUGAAUCAGAUACUUAAACACAGCGAUGAGGCCUGAUACUGGUAUUGGAAAUUAAAAUCAUCUGUCAAACGUCGCCAAUCAAUUCCCACAGAUACCCUCAUAUUGUCACAUCCUGACCAGUAUUUAGGUAUUAUUUGUAUUAUAUUUGGUCAGGACGUGGCAGAGGUAUAUUUGUUUUGUAUGGUGGGUUUUUUUGUGUGUGGUGUAGAGGGGUGUUUUAUUUAUGUGUUCCUGGGUUUUGGGUGUAUGUUCUGGGUUAGUAUGUUCUAGGUUAGUUUUUCUAUGUGUAGGUUUGGGUGCUGGACUCUCAAUUGGAGGCAGGUGUUUCUAGUUGCCUCUGAUUGAGAGUCCUAUAAGUAGGUGUGUGUUUGGUUUGUAGUUUGUGGGUAGUUAUAUUUUGCACUGAUAAGC